rnacentral:rRNA from 1 species
GAUGAACGCUGGCGGCGUGCCUAAUACAUGCAAGUCGAGCGAACGGACGAGAAGCUUGCUUUUCUGAUGUUAGCGGCGGACGGGUUAGUAACACGUGGAUAACCUACCUAUAAGACUGGGAUAACUUCGGGAAACCGGAGCUAAUACCGGAUAAUAUUUUGAACCGCAUGGUUCAAAAGUGAAAGACGGUCUUGCUGUCACUUAUAGAUGGAUCCGCGCUGCAUUAGCUAGUUGGUAAGGUAACGGCUUACCAAGGCAACGAUGCAUAGCCGACCUGAGAGGGUGAUCGGCCACACUGGAACUGAGACACGGUCCAGACUCCUACGGGAGGCAGCAGUAGGUAAUCUUCCGCAAUGGGCGAAAGCCUGACGGAGCAACGCCGCGUGAGUGAUGAAGGUCUUCGGAUCGUAAAACUCUGUUAUUAGGGAAGAACAUAUGUGUAAGUAACUGUGCACAUCUUGACGGUACCUAAUCAGAAAGCCACGGCUAACUACGUG